rnacentral:misc_RNA from 1 species
ACACACAAAAGCAACAAAUAGAAAUACAGUGGAUUCCUUCACAUAAAAAUAUAAAAGGAAACGAAAUUGCAGACAAAGCAGCAAAAAAAGCUCAUGAAAUUAGAGAUCCCAUAACCAUGACACAAAAUUCAACAAACACAAUAAGAGAAAUAAAAAUGAAAAAACAAGAAAACUGGAAAGACAGUUUAAAAGAAAUACUAAACACAAAAAAUUAUCUAAUCAAAGAUCACAACCCACAACCAUGGACAAGAUCACAAAACAGAAAAAUAGAUGUGACCAUUGCAAGACUUAUGACAAAACACACAAGACUUAAAAAACAUUUACACAAACUAAAAAUAGAAGCAGACCCUAUGUGCCGAUGGUGUAGUAACCAAGAAGAAACGCCAGAACACUUAAUUUUACAAUGUCCGAGAUUUAAUUCAUACAGAACAAAAUUAAUACAAGCAUUGAACAAAAUAGAAAUACAAAACCCUGACUUAAAUUUAUUAAUUACAGGAGCAAAUCAACAUCCUGUGAAGAAGUAUUACAUCUUAAGACAUACAAAGAUAUUUCUACAAAGAUCAAGAAUAAUAGAUAUAAUCUGAAGAUAAAGAAAAACUGCAAGAAAGGAUCCAGGGAAUAUAGACAAAAAAAUGGUCUAAAACCCUAUAAAAGAAGAAAGAAGAAGAAGAAGAGGGAUUGCUGUGGCCCUUCUCCGUAGUAUUUUUAUUGUGAUUUGUAGUGUCAUAUCCAGACGCAAUGGGAAGGGUUAAAAAAACAAGGCGGGAAGCCAGAGGGGUUCCUCAGUGAAGUUAGAACUGCUAGAGAUGAUGCCAACAGAAAAAACAAUCGUGCAGUUAGUAAUGUUGCAGAUAUGAAAAUAUGGUAUAUGUUUGUAAUAAUGAAAAUGUUGCAAACUCUGCACGACCUCGAGUUUGUGCGUUUGUGCGCAUGUGUGCAUCGUGAGUGCGGAUUCGUCUCCACGCUCUCCAUGGUGUCCUCGCUGGGCCUCUGCUACGACGCUGGCCCCUUUCGGCACACAACUUUCACCAUUGGAAGUCGCUUGAAGAGUUGAAAAAAAUCGAGGCCAUGAAAACAAAGCUAAAACAUAGAAAAAUACAAAAUGAAUAAAAAUUCUCCAGGGAUGAAAGGUGGCUGCCAAGAAUGUCCACAAAUGGUGGCACACACGAGGACAUAAAAGCUCCAGUCUUGUCGCCGAUUACUCUCUUGGGUUGUUGGCUCGUCUGAUCAGUGUUGCUCGUGGAACGCUCGGCCUCAUUGGACGCGUCACUGUUGUUUUUCUUCAUUUUAGUCUACAAGAGAGAAAGUAUAUUUACAUCUUUUGUGCAUUGUACAUUUUGAGAAUAUAUAGACUGAGAGGA